ACUCAAAUGAAUUGACGGGGGCCUGCACAAGCGGUGGAGUAUGUGGCUCAAUUCGAUGCAACGCGAAGAACCUUACCUGGCCUUGACAUGCAAGUGGUAGAAGCCUGAAAGGGUAACGACCCCGCAAGGGGAGCUUGCACAGGUGCUGCAUGGCUGUCGUCAGCUCGUGUCGUGAGAUGUUGGGUUAAGUCCCGCAACGAGCGCAACCCUUGCGUCCUGUUGCCAAAUCCGAUGAGAAUCGGGUAGCACUCUGGACGGACUGCCUCGCUACAACGGGGAGGAAGGUGGGGAUGACGUCAAGUCAGUAUGGCCCUUACGGCCAGGGCUGCACACGUACUACAAUGCCUGGUACAAAGGGAAGCAAGACCGUGAGGUGGAGCAAAUCCCCUAAAACCAGGCCCAGUUCAGAUUGAAGGCUGCAACUCGCCUUCAUGAAGUUGGAAUCGCUAGUAAUGGCGCAUCAGCUACGGCGCCGUGAAUACGUUCCCAGGCCUUGUACACACCGCCCGU
rnacentral:rRNA from 1 species